CCUGGGCCGCCACAGUGGAGCGCGAGAACUUAACCACUUGGCCACGGAGCCGGCCCUCACUCUUUGAAUUCUAAGAAAGUCCUUCUUCUCUGCUUCUUCUCUGUGGGCAGACACUUGGACAUUAGGAUACAUGCAAGGAGGCACUUCAUGGCAGGGAGAACUUCCGAGUUUUGAAGAGAAAUGACAGCUAUGUCUGUGUGCUGAAUUUCACCUACUGAUGAGACGGCUGAUUGGGCGGCUGUUGGGCCCUCUCCAAGCAUGCUACAACCGCCCUGGGUCUCGACAAGUCUCAGCGCCGCAGGGCUGGAAGGGCCUUCCUGGCCAACCCCUGCCCCGAGCCAGGACACACCUUUAAGUGGACAACUUUCCACUGUCCUCCAAUAUUGCUCCCCUACGCCAGUCAACAAAAGAAACCUCAAGAUUGUGAGUUAAAGGUAAUCACAAUAGUAGUAUAAUUACUAUUCUCAACGAACUGCACAUGGAAUACCCACUUGUUAAUGGAGCAAACAUUUCAUUGUGGACUAACGUCCUCCCGCAACUCCUUUCUUAAUCCUCAACUGGUGUAGAGGCUGGGAAUGUUAACUUAUUUUAAUUAUUAGCCUAGCGUAAAUUGAGAAACACAUUCUGCUCUUACUGAAUCAGAAAUAAAAUACAAUUAUGACUUUU